AGCCAGACUCCUACGGGAGGCAGCAGUGGGGAAUAUUGCACAAUGGGGGAAACCCUGAUGCAGCGACGCCGCGUGAGCGAUGAAGUAUUUCGGUAUGUAAAGCUCUAUCAGCAGGGAAGAAAAUGACGGUACCUGACUAAGAAGCCCCGGCUAACUACGUGCCAGCAGCCGCGGUAAUACGUAGGGGGCAAGCGUUAUCCGGAUUUACUGGGUGUAAAGGGAGCGUAGACGGCGGUGCAAGCCAGAUGUGAAAGCCCGGGGCUCAACCCCGGGACUGCAUUUGGAACUGUGUAGCUGGAGUGUCGGAGAGGCAGGCGGAAUUCCUGGUGUAGCGGUGAAAUGCGUAGAUAUCAGGAGGAACACCGGUGGCGAAGGCGGCCUGCUGGACUGCAACUGACGUUGAGGCCCGAAAGCGUGGGGAGCAAACAGGAUUAGAUACCCUUGUAU
rnacentral:rRNA from 1 species